rnacentral:rRNA from 1 species
UACAGAGGGGGCAAGCGUUAUUCGGAAUUAUUGGGCGUAAAGGGCGCGUAGGCGGCUUUGCAAGUGGCGGGUGAAAUCCCUCGGCUUAACCGAGGAACUGCCUGUCAAACUGCAUGGCUUGAGACCAGGAGAGGUGAGUGGAAUUCCCAGUGUAGCGGUGAAAUGCGUAGAUAUUGGGAGGAACACCAGUGGCGAAGGCGGCUCACUGGACUGGUACUGACGCUGAUGCGCGAAAGCGUGGGGAGCAAACAGGG